ACACAUGCAAGUCGAGGGGAAACGACAUCGAAAGCUUGCUUUUGAUGGGCGUCGACCGGCGCACGGGUGAGUAACGCGUAUCCAACCUGCCCAUCACUUGGGGAUAACCUUGCGAAAGUAAGACUAAUACCCAAUGACGUCUCUAGAAGACAUCUGAAAGAGAUUAAAGAUUUAUCGGUGAUGGAUGGGGAUGCGUCUGAUUAGCUUGUUGGCGGGGUAACGGCCCACCAAGGCGACGAUCAGUAGGGGUUCUGAGAGGAAGGUCCCCCACAUUGGAACUGAGACACGGUCCAAACUCCUACGGGAGGCAGCAGUGAGGAAUAUUGGUCAAUGGACGAGAGUCUGAACCAGCCAAGUAGCGUGCAGGAUGACGGCCCUAUGGGUUGUAAACUGCUUUUAUAAGGGAAUAAAGUUAGUCUCGUGAGACUUUUUGCAUGUACCUUAUGAAUAAGGGCCGGCUAAUUCCGUGCCAGCAGCCGCGGUAAUACGGAAGGUCCGGGCGUUAUCCGGAUUUAUUGGGUUUAAAGGGAGCGUAGGCCGGAGAUUAAGCGUGUUGUGAAAUGUAGACGCUCAACGUCUGCACUGCAGCGCGAACUGGUUUCCUUGAGUACGCACAAAGUGGGCGGAAUUCGUGGUGUAGCGGUGAAAUGCUUAGAUAUCACGAAGAACUCCGAUUGCGAAGGCAGCUCACUGGAGCGCAACUGACGCUGAAGCUCGAAAGUGCGGGUAUCGAACAGGAUUAGAUACCCUGGUAGUCCGCACGGUAAACGAUGGAUGCUCGCUGUUUGCGUCUGACGUAAGCGGCCAAGCGAAAGCGUUAAGCAUCCCACCUGGGGAGUACGCCGGCACGGUGAAACUCAA
rnacentral:rRNA from 1 species